rnacentral:rRNA from 1 species
UAGCGGCGAGUGAAGCGGCAAAAGCUCAAAUUUGAAAUCUGGCACUUUCAGUGUCCGAGUUGUAAUUUGUAGAAGUGACUUUGGGUUUAGUCUUCGCAUAAGUUCCUUAGAACAGGACGUCAUAGAGGGUGAUAACCCCGUUUAUGGUGAAGAUACUAAAUCUAUGUAAAGUGCUUUCAAAGAGUCGAGUUGUUUGGGAAUGCAGCUCUAAGUGGGUGGUAAAUUCCAUCUAAAGCUAAAUAUUGGCGAGAGACCGAUAGCGAACAAGUACUGUGAAGGAAAGAUGAAAAGAACUUUGAAAAGAGAGUGAAAAAGUACGUGAAAUUGUUGAAAGGGAAGGGCUUGAAAUCAGACAUGGUAUUUAAUGAUCAAUUGCUUUUUCGGAGUGAUGCACUCGUUAUUUACUGGGCCAACAUCGGUUUGAACGGUAGGAUAAUGACAUUGGAAUGUAGCUUGCAUUUAUGUAAGUGUUAUAGACUUUGUUGAUACUACCAGUUUGGAUCGAGGACUGCGUCUU